rnacentral:rRNA from 1 species
AGUGAAUAUUAGGACAUCGCUUCGGCGAGUUCGACCCUCCACUUUUCAACUCUGUGCAUUUAUUGGCGGAAUCGAGCGAGCAAUCGUGAAGUUCUGCGUCUCAUUUUUAAACACUAGUCAAAGUAUGUAACGAAAUAUCGAAAUAAAAAAAAACUUUCAACAACGGAUCUCUUGGCUCUCGUAUCGAUGAAGAACGCAGCGAAGUGUGAUAAGUAAUGUGAAUUGCAGAAUUCAGUGAAUCAUCGAAUCUUUGAACGCACCUUGCGCUCCCUGGUAUUCCGGGGAGCAUGUCUGUUUGAGUGUCAUGAACUCUUCAACCCACCAGUCUCUUGUAGACUGAUUGGUGUUUGGAUUUUGAGCGCUGCUGGUCUUCGGAUCUAGCUCGUUCGUAAUAUAUUAGCAUCUCUAAUUCGACUUCGGAUUGACUCAGUGUAAUAGACUAUUCGCUGAGGACACACCUAGUGUGGCCGAACGUUGAUCUCAGUAGAAGCUUCCAACUAUUGUAGUCAAUUUUAGAUUAGACCUCAGAUCAGGCAGGAUUACCCGCUGAACUUAA